rnacentral:rRNA from 1 species
AGCGCAGACGGUUAUUUAAGCAAGAUGUGAAAGCCCCGGGCUCAACCUGGGAACUGCGUUUUGAACUGGGUAACUAGAGUGUGUCAGAGGGGGGUAGAAUUCCACGUGUAGCAGUGAAAUGCGUAGAGAUGUGGAGGAAUACCGAUGGCGAAGGCAGCCCCCUCGGGAUAACACUGACGUUCAUGCUCGAAAGCGUGGGUAGCAAACA